rnacentral:rRNA from 1 species
AGGGUUCGAUUCUGGCUCAGGAUGAACGCUAGCUACAGGCUUAACACAUGCAAGUCGAGGGGCAGCAGGACGAUAGCUUGCUAUGUUGCUGGCGACCGGCGCACGGGUGAGUAACGCGUAUCCAACCUUCCCCUUAGUAGGGCAUAGCCCGGUGAAAAUCGGAUUAAUACCCUAUGUUGUGUCAUGAGGACAUCUGAAUAACACUAAAGAUUUAUCGCUAAGGGAUGGGGAUGCGUCCGAUUAGGUAGUCGGCGGGGUAACGGCCCACCGAGCCCUCGAUCGGUAGGGGUUCUGAGAGGAAGGUCCCCCACACUGGUACUGAGACACGGACCAGACUCCUACGGGAGGCAGCAGUGAGGAAUAUUGGUCAAUGGGCGUAAGCCUGAACCAGCCAAGUAGCCGUGCAGGAUGACGGCCCUAUGGGCUGUAAACUGCUUUUAUACGGGGAUAAAGUGAGGGACGUGUCCCUUAUUGUAGGUACCGUAUGAAUAAGGACCGGCUAAUUCCGUGCCAGCCGCCGC